CAGUCGCCACGGUAAUACGUAGGUGGCAAGCGUUGUCCGGAAUUAUUGGGCGUAAAGCGCGCGCAGGCGGAUCGGUCAGUCUGUCUUAAAAGUUCGGGGCUUAACCCCGUGAUGGGAUGGAAACUGCCAAUCUAGAGUAUCGGAGAGGAAAGUGGAAUUCCUAGUGUAGCGGUGAAAUGCGUAGAUAUUAGGAAGAACACCAGUGGCGAAGGCGACUUUCUGGACGAAAACUGACGCUGAGGCGCGAAAGCCAGGGGAGCGAACGGGAUUAGAUACCCCUGUAGUCCCUGUCUCUUAUACA
rnacentral:rRNA from 1 species